rnacentral:lncRNA from 1 species
ACUGAAGGGUUAUCCUGGCUCCACAAAUCCUCAGAGUGCAAUGCUCUCUCCAUGAAUCUUCAGAAACAAUCGUUCUUCCUGUAUGGAAACUGAAUCUCCACAUGAGACCCUUUGCUUCUUCCUUUUAUACCCCCCUAGUGUUGGGAUUAAAGGCCUGUGAUCCCAAAAGCUGAAAUCACCUUUGUAUGCGAUGUUUCCCUUUAGAACUGGAUCAAUAUCAUGUAGCUCUGUGUGGCCUAAAACUAAUAGAGCUCCAUCUGUCUGUCUUGAGUCCUGGGAUUAAAGCUGGGGAUGUACCCUGGAGCUGUCACCCUCCCUAACGUUGCUGACUGCAGUCUCACAGAGCACCAUAGGAGCUUUGCUAAAUUCAGUCUCAAUCCUUCAACAAUCAAGCGUCAAGGACUGGGAAUGCAGCUGAGGACACAAAAGCAGAGCACACGCCUGGCAUGCAUGGUGUCCUGGUAUCCGUCCCAGAACAUCAAGGAUUGGAGGUAUAUUUUCCAAACACUGAUAACAUUUCUUGCUUUAUGGGUGAAUAGUGCCCAUUGUGUAUGUGGAGCUCAUUUUUUUUUAUCCAACUGUGGGCAGAUAGGUGGAUUCCAUAAUUUCUCUACUGCAAAUAGUAGUAUAAUGAGCAUAAGUAUGCAGUAUCUCUAUUGUGUACUGACUUAA